rnacentral:rRNA from 1 species
GGCUUAACGCUGGCGGCGUGCAUACCACAUGCAAGUCGAACGAUGAAACUUAAAUGAUUUCUUCGGAAUGAACUUAAGUGGAUUAGUGGCGGACGGGUGAGUAACGCGUGAGUAACCUGCCUUACACAAGGGGAUAGCCGUUGGAAACGACGAAUAAUACCCUAUGAAACUAUCACUUCGCAUGAAGCGAUAGUCAAAGUGUUAGCGGUGUAAGAUGGACUUGCGUCUGAUUAGCUAGUUGGUGAGAAAAAAGCCCACCAAGGCAACGAUCAGUAGCCGGCUUGAGAGAGUGUACGGCCACAUUGGGACUGAGGCACGGCCCAGACUCCUACGGGAGGCAGCAGUGGGGAAUUUUGCACAAUGGGGGAAACCCUGAUGCAGCGACGCCGCGUGAUUUAGAAGGCCUUCGGGUUGUAAAAAUCUUUUGUAUAGGAAGAAAAUGACAGUACUAUACGAAUAAGGUCCGGCUAAUUACGUG